UCUGUUGUGUCUGAACACCAUCUACCUGAGGCAGGGGUCCAAGUGUCCCUUCAUCGUCAAAGGCCAAAAUUGGAUUCAAAGGAAUAUCUGGAUUCUCACUGUUGGUGACAUCUAGUCUGGAUGGUUUAGAUCCAAUGGGAGAAAAAUACAGAUGCCUGACCUAACUGUAUCACAAGGCACUGCAGGGUACAGGGAAAAUAUUACUUGUAAGAGUGCUGUGGAAAAGAACGUAAAAUUAUUAUACAGAUUGCAGCUAUGAUGGUGUGGUGCUUUCCCACUGCUGUGCCGUGGAACUGAGACGAAGCUUGGCAUCACAGUCUACGUGAGUGUGCCUGCAUGCACACACACGGAAUGCCUGCCAUCCUGUUCUUUCCCAAUACGAGUGGGCUUUCUGUAACCAGGGAGAGUUUCGGUUCUCAUCCCACAGAGAUUUUUUAAGUACAAGUUUUGGCAAAAGAAGAAUAUAUCUUCAAAACUCUUGUUCCUUGACGGAUGUCAACUCCGUUCACCUUCCAGGCCUGCGUGUGCUGACAAGCUAUAAUGGCACACCAACCCCAGGUUUGACUCAACGCUGACUUCAUUUUCCUCUUCCACUACUACCCAACCCCUCCACCCAGUCUUUGUUAACAAUUAGAGGAAUAAUCAUACCAUAUGCUUUGGAUGAACAAUUAUUAAAUGUUCAGAGGACGCAGUGAUAUGCAAAACUAUAAAACUGAAGUUCAAGUUUCUGAAGAUAUGUUUUGGGUUUUUAUACAAUGAUUGGUCACUUGGUGAUUUUACCACUGAAGAGAAUCAGCUAAUUUUAUUCCCUGGAGAGAAUUAUCAGUGGCUUAAAAAACUUAUUCCCUGUUAUAAUAAUGGGGCACUCUCUGCAGUACUUUUUAUAGGAGUUGGAAAUGAAUAUUUUAUUUGAAAAUUAAACUAAUUUAAAAAUGAAA